GUGGCUCAGAUGCCUCCCUAGGCCAGUUCCCGUACCAGGUGUCCCUGCAGUGGGUGCAGCUGGGGCUGGCGUCCCACACGUGUGGCGGCUCCAUCGUGAGCGCCAGCGCCGUCGUCACCGCAGGCCACUGCGCCGACCCCGCCUUCAUCGGGCACUACGAGGCCGUGGCUGGUAUCAACUCCCUGAACUCCAAC